rnacentral:rRNA from 1 species
AGAGGYCYCAAGCGUUGUUCGGAUUCAUUGGGCGUAAAGGGUGCGUAGGCGGCGCGGUAAGUCGGGUGUGAAAUCUCGGAGCUUAACUCCGAAACUGCAUUCGAUACUGCCGUGCUUGAGGACUGGAGAGGAGACUGGAAUUUACGGUGUAGCGGUGAAAUGCGUAGAUAUCGUAAGGAAGACCAGAGGCGAAGGCGGGUCUCUGGACAGUUCCUGACGCUGAGGCACGAAGGUCAGGGGAGCAAACGGGAUUAGAUACCCCGGUAGUCCUGACAGUAAACGGUGCACGUUUGGUGUGGGAGGAUUCGACCCCUUCUGCGCCGGAGCUAACGCGUUAAACGUGCCGCCUGGGGAGUACGGUCGCAAGAUUA